rnacentral:tRNA from 1 species
GGAGAGGUGUCGGAGUGGCUUAUCGAGCAGCCUUGGAAAGGCUGUGUAGGACUUGUUCCUACCCCGGGUUCGAAUCCCGGCCUCUCCG